AUUUCAAAUUCCAGUUUGUGGACAAAGUCCUGUCUAUCUGAGAAUAUAGAUAGAUCUCCGACCACUGACCAAACUCCAUUCCAAGCAACUACCUAGUUAUGCUUUUUCCCUGCCUUGCAGUCUCUUCUGUUCACUUGCUGGAUCUGCUGGGAUCGUACUGAAACUCUCACCAGAACGGUUGCGCACAUACAAAGUGGAUUUCCACAUUUUCAUCUUAAUCUAACAGCUUCCUUUUAAAGUUGGGAAUGGGGAAGAAGAUGCUGAUCAUCUGUAAUAAACCAGUGAACAUCCCAGCCCAUGGGCGUUAUAGGGGGAGUGCGACGGAGUCUCUCAGGCCUUCUCCGCCCCCUGCUGGAGAUGUUUGCACCCUAACAACACUCCGCUCAAGAUGAACCCACGGACUCAGACUGGGCUACCAACAAAACUUAGUCAUCUAGUGGCCUAGAAGGGCCAGGAGAUGCUGACCAAUCAGGAGCCAGCAGGCCAGUUAAGAAGGCUUGCCUGCUGCCUCUCAGGACAAGCGUGGGGUAAGACCGGGACAGAGGAAGAGCACUCAGUGCUAACCCAAAAUGCCAGGGCCAGGUCAUAUCCUUGUUUUCAAGUGCUGCAACCAAGCAUAUGCCUUUGAUGUUUGUUUGUUGAACAUACAGGCAGCCAAAUUCUGUGUUUGUAAUUGCGUAGGGCCUGACGCUGAAUUGACAGCCCAGACUGCCCUGCUCCGAGCAGGCAGCCACCACUCGUGGGGGAAGGCAGGGAGAGUCUGCAGUACCAGGCUUGGCCCAACAAGGCAUGCUGUGGAGCUGCCACACCUGUGAAAAAGAGCUAGUCCCACGUCACAGGUGCAUUUUCCACUCAGUAAGCGGGGAUUGAAUUCUGCAGCCUUGGGUUGGUUGAAAAGCGAGCAGCUUCCAGUUUACACCGUGUUCCUGUAACUUCUGUGCCCCUCGGGUUGGUGUGAGGAUGUUUUCCCAUGGACCCGGGGAGAAGAGGCCGCUUGUUACUCAAACACAUUCUCCUAAGAAAAUGCCACCUUAUAUGAGGAGAUGCUGUGACUAUACACAUCAUGGUAUGUCACCUUGAAACGAUACAUGUUCAUCUGAAAUGGGAGACCCACUUGGCAGGACUUGUGAUGUCCAAGUAGAGUCCCCGAUUUCCGCUAUGCAGAAAUGGAAUCCUAACAAGUCCCUCCUUGGCUGACCAGGAUCCCUGGUGGUUUGAUACCUUUGUAUUGCUAUUCCUAGCAGUCCCGUCAUUCCCGAGGAGCAGAGACAUCACGGUCACCACAAUUUAGGCCAGGAUCUCACUGCACAGUUCACCCUCAAGAGGCAAAGUGCAUCGCAGAGUAAUCAGGGACUUCUUUGCCUACACUGCAGCUGCCAGUGAAUCGCCAAGCCUGGACAGACAGACUUGCACUAGUGGGGCUUGAGAUAGCAGGCUAAAAAUAGCUGUGUGCGGCAGAGACUUGGGCUAAAGACCAGAGCUCGAGCCUAGGGGAUCUGGUGCCUAGCUCGAGUCACUGUCAGAGUGGUAGCGGCCGCACAGCAAUUCUUAGCAUGCUAGCUCGAACCCUGCUAGCAUGAGUCUGUCUUCGUGGGCUGGCUCACGCCCAGCUGCAGUGUAGACAUACCUUUGCAGGCCUGAGAUAGGAUCAAUAACACGGGGGUGAAUUCUCUGAGGUCCUAAACCUAUUUUUCAGUCACUUUACAUAAGGGAGAAUGCCUUAGUCCCAGGUACUCCAGACGAGUAGGAAAUGCAGAGUCCUUCUGGCUGGUGGCAGGGGGACCUCCGGGGGACAGACAAUUCCAUACAGGUUCCAGGCAGUAGCCUAGUGACUGGGAUAACAGGGCUGUGGCACUAGAUUCAGGCCCUGCCCCAGGGACUUCAGGGUAACAGAGAAUUCAGUGCUGGCUGCCAGCAGUUCUGGUCACCCAGAAACAGCUGGCAAAAUAGAAAGGGCAGAUGUGGGCUGAGGAGAAAUGUUGGUUUGGGAGAGUCUUAAACCAGAACAGUGCCAUGAUAGUUAAACAUGAGGUACCUGAGAGGCAGACCCCCACUGCCUAGCCCUGAAGGAUCCCUUACUGCGCUGACCCCGAGGGAUGUUUUCCCAAAGCCACUGCCCAGGAGCUUUCUCGGUGCUCUCCUGUUCUCUCUGGUGGGGGUUUCAGAGCAGUCCGACAUGUGGACUGCAGAUGUGGGGGAGGGUCAUUAGCACAGCUCUGCUGAAUUCAUCUGGAUGAACUUUCACAACACCUGCUAGGAAAAUACCAUUCUUUCCCCGCUCGGCUGACUGUAAAGUUAAAGACCUAGUACCAGUACCUGGCGUCUCCUGGAGCAAGUUAUAGCUGCUGCCAUUCAUUUUCCAGAGGAUCCGUUGGGCCCCAGGAAGAAGCUAGAGAAGUCUCACCCCCAGACAGGGAUUUCUACCCAGCAAGCACCACAAGGGCUGUGAACAAGGAGCCAUGUUCAGCGCAAGUAACCGGGAGGCCAGCCGGAGUGUGGGCUGCAGGGAUAAGCUAAUCUCUUAAUGCUGGUCACAAUGAGAUUUGACUGGAAGCAGGAGUUCAUGCAAUGGAGUUACAGCUUUUAUAGAGUACUGACAAAUGCUCCAACGUGAAUUAUAAGGUGGCCCGAGCUCUGCACCCUGCAACCAUGCCCCUAGGGGUGCCCUGUGCCUUCUGGGCCACCUUUUCAAAGUCUCCUAACCCUGGCCUCUGAUCUGGCACCCACGUAUCUGCACCCACGCAGCUGCAGCUUUUGGGGGUGCACAACCAUGUGUGCAAAUGCAGAGGCUGCUUAUGAAAACAUGCCACACUGCGUUUAGCAAAAUGACUCGGUGUGAGUCCGUCUCUGCAAGGUAUGGGGGAAGCGAAAGGCCUUUAUUAGAAAAUAUGUCUGUACAAACAUCCAUAAUAAAAUACCUUGAUACAA